rnacentral:rRNA from 1 species
AAGGGGGCAAGCGUUGUUCGGAAUUACUGGGCGUAAAGGGUGUGUAGGCGGAUAAGUAAGAUAGUGGUGAAAUGCCCGAGCUCAACUUGGGAACUGCCAUUAUAACUAUUGAUCUAGAGUGACAGAGAGGAUAUUGGAAUACCCAGUGUAGAGGUGAAAUUCGUAGAUAUUGGGUAGAACACCGGAGGCGAAGGCGAGUAUCUGGCUGUCAACUGACGCUGAGGCACGAAAGCAUGGGGAGCAAA